rnacentral:misc_RNA from 1 species
UGGUUCUCGCAUCGAUGAAGAACGCAGCGAAAUGCGAUAAGUAAUGUGAAUUGCAGAAUUCAGUGAAUCAUCGAAUCUUUGAACGCACAUUGCGCCCCUUGGUAUUCCGAGGGGCAUGCCUGUUCGAGCGUCAUUACACCACUCAAGCUAUGCUUGGUAUUGGGCGUCGUCCUUAGUUGGGCGCGCCUUAAAGACCUCGGCGAGGCCACUCCGGCUUUAGGCGUAGUAGAAUUUAUUCGAACGUCUGUCAAAGGAGAGGAACUCCGCCGACUGAAACCUUUAUUUUUCUAGGUUGACCUCGGAUCAGGUAGGGAUACCCGCUGA